rnacentral:tRNA from 1 species
CCUUCGAUAGCUCAGUUGGCAGAGCGGAGGACUGUAGGUUAGAUAUGUUGACAUCCUUAGGUUGCUGGUUCAACUCCGGCUCAAAGGA